rnacentral:rRNA from 1 species
UCGAAGGUAGCAUAAUCAGUAGUCUUUUAAUUGAAGGCUGGAAUGAAUGGUUGGACGAAAUAUAAACUGUUUCAAGGAAAAUUAUAAUAAAAUUUUAUUUUUUAGUAAAAAAGCUAGAAUUUAUUUAAAAGACGAGAAGACCCUAUAAAUCUUUAUAUAUUAUUUUAUUAUAAUUUAUUAGAUAAAUUUUGUUAUAAUAAAAUAAUAUAUUUUGUUGGGGUGAUGUUAAAAUUUAAUAAACUUUUAAUAAAAAAAUUCAUUAAUUUAUGAUUUAUUGAUCCAUUAAUAGUGAUUAAAAAAUUAAGUUACUUUAGGGAUAACAGCGUAAUUUUUUUGGAGAGUUCAUAUCAAUAAAAAAGAUUGCGACCUCG